rnacentral:lncRNA from 1 species
GACGAGGAGGACGAGGAUUUGUGCUCGGUAUAACCCCAGGUGAUUAGCGGUGGUUGUUGGAUGUGGUUGGCGGUGGUUGGAGGUGGUCGGAGGUGGACGAGGAGGAGGACAUGGAAGACGAGGAGAACAAGGUGGACGAGGAGGACGAGGAUUUGUGCUCGGUAUAACCCGAGGUGGUUAGCAGUGGUUGUUGG